rnacentral:rRNA from 1 species
UCAGUAACACGUAGUCAACUAACCUGUGGACGUGGAUAAUCUCGGGAAACUGAGGAUAAACCACGAUAGAUAACGGUGCCUGGAAUGGCCCAUUGUCCAAACAGUUUACUGCCACGGGAUGGGACUGCGGCUAUCAGCUUGUUGGUGAGGUAAUGGCCCACCAAGGCUAUAACAGGUACGGGCUCUGAGAGGAGAAGCCCGGAGAUGGGUACUGAGACACGGACCCAGGCCCUAUGGGGCGCAGCAGGCGAGAAACCUUAGCAAUGUGCGAAAGCACGACUGGGUCAGUCCGAGUGAUUUCUGAUAAAGGAAUCUUUUGCUAGUCCUAAAAGCACUAGCGAAUAAGGGGUGGGCAAGUCUGGUGCCA